CAUCUUAUGUCCAAAAGAGAGAGAGUAUAAAACUAUAAAUCACCAUUAAAAAAAAUAAGAAAAGAAACAAAAGUGCAUGACCUACUACAUUUUAGCUUAGUUUCUUGCUAACUUCUGUAAUACCCAAAACAAUGAACACCUCUGAAAUCUAAAAAAUACUCAAACUGGAUACCUUUUCUUCGGGGGAAAGGAAAUAAAUUACAUCGAACCCGACUACAAUGGUCCAACAACACCAUUUUACCAAUUUGGACUACUUUUUAUUUGAUCAGUUUGCAGUCAUUUUAUGGAUAAUACAUACAUUAGAUGAUAUUUAUCUUUCACAAAUUGGUGUCCGUAAUGGGAGAAGCAGCUUUGUAUGUCCGGCCAAGUUCUAUCGUGCUAGCUCCAUGUCCAUACUCGUUAUCACGCCACUGGUUUCCUUCGGAUCAUAAUAUAACAAAUAUGACCAUUUAUCAGUAAAAACGGAGAAAGUAGCGAAAUCAGAGAAGCUAAUAAAGAACCGAAUACUGCGAGGAAUUGCAAAAGGGAAACAUUACUGAAAACACGCAGCUGUAAAUUAAUAAGGUGCCACAUGUUUCAACACUUAAUUCCUAAAUUUCCAGAUAGAAAGUUAAGAAACUUACCGAAGAACUCCCAAUUUUAACUCAAUAUCUAACAUUAAAAUGGGGAAUUCAUUGGAAGGGAAACUGAAUUUUGGAAAUUUAUCUAUACCAUCGAAUUUGGAUGAGACGAUGCUGUCAGAGAAGACUUGAAGAUAAAGCUGAAAGUGUAGAGACAUAUUGACCUAGGAAGAAGAACCAUCGAUUAGUACAAAAAGGGCACAAAGGUAAUUAUGUGCCCAGCUUUUCACGCAUGGGACACGCGGCGCAUUCUUGAUUAAGAUCUUUUGUUGAUUAAUGUCAAAAUACAAUAUACACACGGACCGAUCAACCAAUUAUAUAGCCCAUAGCUGGAAUUCCAUUUUUACCCCGGGAAGCAGGACGACGAAGUCCUGCUUACUCCCGCUUCUAAAUAGUAGGAAUAUUAUGUCGCCUGAAAAUAUUCAUAAUGAGUAGUCCAAUUUUGUAGCAAUUGCGC
rnacentral:lncRNA from 1 species